AGAUUAUGGUGUGAGCAUUAUCUCUGCAGGUCUUUGAACCUAUUCCAUACUUCCUUUAGUGUCUCAUUAGGUUCUUGUUGGAAGGUAGCAAGUUUAUGUCUGAUUUC